GAUGAAGAACGUAGUGAAAUGCGAUACGUAAUGUGAAUUGCAAAUUCAGUGAAUCUUCGAGUCUUUGAACGCACAUUGCGCCCCCUGGUAUUCCGGGGGGCAUGCCUGUCCGAGCGUCAUUACUGCCCUCAAGCCCGGCUUGUGUGUUGGGCCCCGUCCUCCGAUCCCGGGGGACGGGCCCGAAAGGCAGCGGCGGCACCGCGUCCGGUCCUCGAGCGUAUGGGGCUUUGUCACCCGCUCUGUAGGCCCGGCCGGCGCUUGCCGAUCAACCCCAAUUUUUAUAGGUUGACCUCGGAUCAGGUAGGGAUACCCGCUGAACUUAAGCAUAUCAAUAAGCGGAGGA
rnacentral:misc_RNA from 1 species